rnacentral:rRNA from 1 species
GACGAACCGAGCGAACGUUGUUCGGAAUCACUGGACUUAAAGGGCGCGUAGGCGGGUGCUCAAGUCCGUGGUGAAAUCCUCCGGCUCAACCGGAGAACUGCCUCGGAUACUGGGCGUCUCGAGUGUGGUAGGGGUAUGCGGAACUAUCGGUGGAGCGGUGAAAUGCGUUGAUAUCGAUAGGAACUCCGGUGGCGAAGGCGGCAUACUGGACCACCAUUGACGCUGAGGUGCGAAAGCGUGGGGAGCAAACAGG